UGGUCUUGCUUUGUUGCCCAGGCUGGAGUGCAGUGGUGCCAUCACAGCUGACCACAGCCUCGAACUCCUGGUCUCAAGGGAUCUUCCUGCUUUAGCCUCCUAAGUAGCUGGCACUAUAGGUGCGCACCAUCACAGCUGGCUAAAUUGUGGCAGACAGGGUCUCCCUACUUUGCCCAAGCUGGUCUCAAAUUCUGAGCCUCAAGCUGUCCUCCUGCCUUGGCCUCCCAAAGUGCUAGGAGCCACUGCACCUGGCCUAGUUUUUUUAGAGACAGGGUCUCACACUCUUGCCCAGGCUGGAGUGCAGUAGUAUGAUCCUAGCUCAUUGCGGGCUUGGACUCCUGGACUCAAGUGAUUCUCUUGCUUCAGCCUCUCGAAUAGCUAGGAUUGCACUUGCGUGCCACCAUGUUUGGCUAAUUUUAAAAAUGUUUUGUAGAGAAAGAUCUUGCUACAUUGCCCAGGCUGGUCAUGAACUCCUUGCCUCAAGCACUCCUCUUGCCUCAGCCUUCCAAAGUGCUGGUAUUAUAGUUGUGAACCACUGUGCUCCACCAAGUCACUUUUAAUAUUGAGGUUCUGAUCCCUGUGUGUGGAGAGAUUGAGAAUAGAAUCAGGCACUAUCACCAUAGGUUGAGGAAGUGGCUUUUGUGGAGGUGAUCUCUUGAGUUUUUUUCUGCCUCAGUGGGGAUGGCAGGAUGACAAGUUGGCCUAAUUAGUCAAGUUGGCCUAAUUUGUAUUGGCCCCUGAGUCAUUCAGAGAAAGAAAGACCUGUAGCCUGGAUGUCAGGCAUGUUUGUGGGUCCAGAGCUCACCUUGAAGAAGGGGAUAGUUGGUGUGAGAUCUGUAUGUUUAUGGACAGAAAACAUUGGGUUCCUUGUUCCCAGGGAAUGUUCCAGAACUUCCAGCAAUGGUCAGAAGGAGCUGUUUCCAGAUUCAGCUCAGAAGCCAUAUUCUCCAAAAUCUGGAACAUGGAGUGUCUUCAAUCUGGUCUGGAGUAGAUUCCCAUAUGGCUCCUACCUCAGCUUCAGAAAAAUCCCAUGAAGGAGGAAUUAUCUUCAUUUUCCAUUGCUCCCCCACUGUCCAGGGCUGUACACUCAGGACUGGCUGCUCGAUAGGAUAUUGACCACCUUGCUGCCUAUGGAAAGCUCUGUGCUGUUUUUUUAGGGGGAAGGGAAGCCAACUCAAAUUGUAAUUUUAAAAGUGUAAUUUGUGGCCGGGCACAGUGGCUCACACCUGUAAUCCCAACACUUUGGGAGGCUGAAGUGGGCAGAUCACAAUGUCAGGGGUUUGAGAACAGCCUGGCCAACAUGGUGAAAUCCCAUCUCCACUGAAAAUACAAAAACUAGCCAGGUGUGGUGGUACACACCUGUAGUCCCAGCUAUUCAGGAGGCUGAGGCAGGCGAAUCGCUUGAACCCGGGAGGUGGAGGUUGCAGUGAGCAUAGACUGUGCCAUUGUACUCCAGCCUGGUCUACAGAGCAAGACUCUCUCUCUCUCAAAAAAAAUGUAAUUUAUAAGAGCAUAAAAUUAUGAAGUACUUAGAAAUAAAUUUUGCAAAAUUAUGCAAGACUUGUACACUGAAAACUACAAAACAUUGCUGAGAUAAAUUGCAGAAUGCCUAAGUAAAUGAGGACAUUUAUUAUGUUCAUGAAUUGGAAGUCUUAAUAUGUUAAUCCUCCCCAGGUUGGUUUGUGGAUUCCAUGCAGUCUCAAUAAAAAUGUCACUAGGUUGUUUUGUUUUUUUGUAUUUUUUUUUUUUUUUUGACUCACUCUGUUACCCAGGCUGGAGUGCAGUGGUGCAAUUUCAUCUCACUGAAACUUCUGCCUCCCUCUGCCUGCCGUUCAAGUGAUUCUCCUGCCUCAGCCUCCCAAGUAGCUGGGACUACAGGUGCCUGCCACCAUGCCUGGCUAAUUUUUGUAUUUUUAGUAGAGACUAGAGACAGAGUUUUCUAUAUUGGCUAGGCUGGUCUCAAACUCCUAACCUCAAGUGAUUUAUCCACCCCUUUCAGCCUCCCAAAAUGCUGGGAAUACAGGCAUGAGCUACCUCAUUCAGCUUCACUAGACUUUUUUUUUUUUUUUUUUGUGAUGGAAUCUCUGUCACCCAGGAGUGCAGCGUCAUGAUCUCGGCUCAUUGCAACCUCUGCCUCCCAGGGUCAAGCAAUUCUCCUGCCUCAGCCUCCUGAAUAGCUGGGAUAACAGGCGCCCACCACCAUGCCCAGCUAAUUUUUGUAUUUUUAGUAGAGACAGGGUUUUGCCAUGUUGUCCAGGCUGCUCUUGAACACCUGACGUCAAUUGAUCCACUUGCCUCCGCCUCCCAAAGUGCUGGGAUUACAGGGGUAAAGCAACAGCACCUGGCCACAUCCCCGUAAUUGUCACAGGUCCUAAGACUAGCAUAGGGAUUUGUCUAGAGUUUGCACAGUGACAUUAUUCCAUACAGGGAGCUCAUGUGGUGUCCUGCCUCCUCCCCCUCUUAAUUGUCACAGGUCCUAAGACUAGCAUAGGGAUUUGUCUAGAGUUUGCACAGUGACAUUAUUCCAUACAGGGAGCUCAUGUGGUGUCCCACCUCCCCCCACACCAUCCUCUUCACUGCUGGAUCUAAGGUCAGAUGCCACACGGCCAUAUUUUGAGAGACCAGGCCCCAACCAGACUGUAUCCUGUCUUGGGACCCAACAGCCCCUGCGUCUACACAACCCUGGAGCCCCUCUGACAUCCCCCCACAUCCAUCUUUAAGGCUGCAGUGGCUGUACACGGGUUGGACCCAGCAGUGUGGUAGGCUGCCCUGCACUCUAGCACCUACAGUGUUCCACACCCAAGGCAGUGUAGUACACCUGGGAGGUUGCCCUGGGGACAAAGGGAGCCAAAGUGUGUACCCCCCAGAGCCUGAGAGCUGCUUGCGUGGGGCUGCUGCCACUAAUAGCCCUACCCCCACUAAGCAGCAGGGCUACCACACACUUGCACACAUCCUGAGGACAGGUUCUCCUUGGCACAGAUGCCAGCAGUGGUGAACAGGGAAGCACUGGUGAUUCCUAGGGCUCCAUACAGUGUGCUUGAGUGAUGUCCACACUGCCUGGGGCCCUAGUCAUCACCCUUCCCUGUCCACCACUGCUGACAUCUGUGCAUUCCUCCUGGGGGCCUGAGGAUUUGCCCACCCAGUCUGUUGCCACCACCAGCACCCACCCACACAUGCCACCUGGGGUUCUGGGGACUGGCCAGCCCUGCCUGUUGUAGACCUUGGUAAUGCCUGUGCAUGCUGCCUAGGAACUUGAGGAUUGUCCUGCCACUGCUGCUACUCAUGCCACACAUGAUUUCCAGGGGUCCAAGGACCCACACACCUGUUUGGUCCACCUCUGCCACUGCUGGCACUUGAACAAGCCACCUGUAGGCCUAAGAAGUAGCCUGCCUGGCCAGGCAUGGUGGCUCAAGCCUGUAAUCCCCGUACUUUGGGAGGCCGAGGCAGGCAGAUCAUGAGGUCACGAGAUCGAGACCAUCCUGGCCAACAUGGUGAAACCCCAUCUCUAGUAAAAAUAAAAAAUUAGCUGGGCGUGGUGGCGUGCGCCUGUAGUCCCAGCUGCUUGAGAGGCUGAGGCGGAAGAAUUGCUUGAACCCAGGAGGCGGAGGUUGCAGUGAGCCAAGAUUGUGCCACUGCACUAUAGCCUGGCGACAGAGUGAGACUCUGUCUCAAAAAAAAAAAAAAAAAAAAAAGCCUGCCUGAUUUUACCUGUAAAGACACAUAAAGACCGAUAGUAACAUGAUGGAAAAAUAUAUUACAUGCAAAUAAAAAAUGUAGUGAGCAGGAGUAGCUAUACUUAGAUAAAACAUACUUUAAGUCAAAAGAGGGUCAGGUAUGGUGGUGCACACCUAAAUUCCCGGCACUUUGGAAGGCUUAGGUGAGAGGAUUACUUGAAGCCAGGAGUUAGACCAGCCUGGGCAACAUAGUGAGACCCCUGUUUCUACAAAAAGAAAAGAAAAAGACAAUGAAUAUCAUUAUACGAUAAAGAGAUGAACUUAGCGAGAGGAUAUAGCAAUUCUCAAAAUAUGUGUACCCAACACUGGAGCACCCAGAUACAUAAAGCAAAUAUUAUUUGAUCUAAAGCUGGAAGUAGACUCUGAUAAAAUAACAGGGACUUUAAUGCUCCACUCAGUAUUAGCUAGAUCAUCUAGACAGGAAAUUAAUGAACAUUGGAUUUAUUUAUUUAUUUAUUUAUUGAGACAGAGCCUCGCUUUGUCGCUCAGGCUGGAGUGCAGUGGCACAAUCUCGGUUCACUGCAGUCUCUGCCUCCCGGGUUCAAGCAGUUCUCCUGCCUCAGCCUCCCUGUCUCAAAUAAAAAGAUAUACCCACAGUUUAUUUUUAGCCAAUUAUAUUUGAAUGUGCUGUUUCUUUAAAAAAAAAUUAAACAUUUACUAGAAAUCAUAGAAAUGUAUGUAAACAUUCAGACUUUAUGAAAAUUAAUGAUAUUUUUGAUAAAAUUUUACUGCAUCUCUCUUAAAUGCGUAAAAAUGCAGGACAAGACAGGCACAGUGGCUCAUGCCUGUGAUCCAAGCACUUCGGGAGGCCGAGGCGGGCAGAUCACAAGUUCAGGAGUUUGAGACCAGCCUGGCCAACAUAGUGAAACCCUAUCUCUACUAAAAAUACAAAAAAUUAGCCAGGCAUGGUGGGGGGCACUUGUAAUCCAAGCUACUUGGGAGGCUGAGGCAGGAAAAUCGCUUGAACCUCGGAGGCAGAGGUUUCAGUGAGCCGAGAUUGACGCCAUUGCAUUCCAGCUCAGGCAAUAGUGUGAGACUCUGUCUCAAAAGAAAAAAUAUAGGACAAACACAUUUCUUUUUUUUAUUUUUAUUUUUAUUUAUUUUUUAUUUUUUUAUUUUUUGGAGACAGAGUGUCGCUCUUGUUACCCAGGCUGGAGUGCAAUGGCACGAUCUCGGCUCACCGCAACCUCCGCCUCCUGGGUUCAAGCAAUUCUCCUGCCUCAGCCUCCUGAGUAGCUGGGAUUACAGGCAUGCGCCACCAUGCCCAGCUAAUUUUUUUUGUAUUUUUAGUAGAGACGGGGUUUCACCACGUUGACCAGGAUGGUCUCGAUCUCUCGACCUCGUGAUCCACCCGCCUCGGCCUCCCAAAGUGCUGGGAUUACAGGCUUGAGCCACCGCGCCCGGCAAGACAAACACAUUUCAACAGUCAUUCCUUUGCAUUGAAUUUACACUUACAAAAUUGUUCAUUACGUGAAUAAGAGCUAAUACUUUGCAGUUAGUGUGUAGAAAUGCACUUAAUAGAAAAACUGCAUGGGUUGGGAACUAUUGUUAUUCCCAUUGUACAAAUAAGAAGACUGGAACACAGAAGUACCCUCCAAGGUUGAUAUGGUUUGGAUGUUUGUCCCUUCCAAAUCCUGUGUUGAAAUGUAAUCCCUAAUGUUGGAGGUCGGGCCUGGUGGGAGGUGUUCGGGUCUUGGGGGCAGAUCCCUCAGAAUGGCUUGGUGCUGUCCUAAUGAUAAUGAGUGAGUUCUCAUUCUAAGUUCACAUGUGAUCUGGUUAUUUA
ensembl:lincRNA